GGGGAACGAUAACGGCGUCGAGCGGCGGACGGGUGAGUAAUGCCUAGGAAAUUGCCCUGAUGUGGGGGAUAACCAUUGGAAACGAUGGCUAAUACCGCAUGAUGCCUACGGGCCAAAGAGGGGGACCUUCGGGCCUCUCGCGUCAGGAUAUGCCUAGGUGGGAUUAGCUAGUUGGUGAGGUAAGGGCUCACCAAGGCGACGAUCCCUAGCUGGUCUGAGAGGAUGAUCAGCCACACUGGAACUGAGACACGGUCCAGACUCCUACGGGAGGCAGCAGUGGGGAAUAUUGCACAAUGGGCGCAAGCCUGAUGCAGCCAUGCCGCGUGUGUGAAGAAGGCCUUCGGGUUGUAAAGCACUUUCAGUCGUGAGGAAGGUAGUGUAGUUAAUAGCUGCAUUAUUUGACGUUAGCGACAGAAGAAGCACCGGCUAACUCCGUGCCAGCAGCCGCGGUAAUACGGAGGGUGCGAGCGUUAAUCGGAAUUACUGGGCGUAAAGCGCAUGCAGGUGGUUUGUUAAGUCAGAUGAAAUGCGUAGAGAUCUGAAGGAAUACCGGUGGCGAAGGCGGCCCCCUGGACAGAUACUGACACUCAGAUGCGAAAGCGUGGGGAGCAAACAGGAUUAGAUACCCUGGUAGUCCACGCCGUAAACGAUGUCUACUUGGAGGUUGUGGCCUUGAGCCGUGGCUUUCGGAGCUAACGCGUUAAGUAGACCGCCUGGGGAGUACGGUCGCAAGAUUAAAACUCAAAUGAAUUGACGGGGGCCCGCACAAGCGGUGGAGCAUGUGGUUUAAUUCGAUGCAACGCGAAGAACCUUACCUACUCUUGACAUCCAGAGAACUUUCCAGAGAUGGAUUGGUGCCUUCGGGAACUCUGAGACAGGUGCUGCAUGGCUGUCGUCAGCUCGUGUUGUGAAAUGUUGGGUUAAGUCCCGCAACGAGCGCAACCCUUAUCCUUGUUUGCCAGCGAGUAAUGUCGGGAACUCCAGGGAGACUGCCGGUGAUAAACCGGAGGAAGGUGGGGACGACGUCAAGUCAUCAUGGCCCUUACGAGUAGGGCUACACACGUGCUACAAUGGCGCAUACAGAGGGCGGCCAACUUGCGAAAGUGAGCGAAUCCCAAAAAGUGCGUCGUAGUCCGGAUUGGAGUCUGCAACUCGACUCCAUGAAGUCGGAAUCGCUAGUAAUCGUGGAUCAGAAUGCCACGGUGAAUACGUUCCCGGGCCUUGUACACACCGCCCGUCACACCAUGGGAGUGGGCUGCAAAAGAAGUAGGUAGUUUAACCUUCGGGGGGACGCUUACCACUUUGUGGUUCAUGACUGGGGUGAAGUCGUAACAAGGUAGCGCUAGGGGAACCUGGCGCUGGAUCACCUCCUUAAACGAUGAU
rnacentral:rRNA from 1 species